AACGAACGCUGGCGGCAGGCCUAAUACAUGCAAGUCGAACGAUCCUUCGGGAUAGUGGCGCACGGGUGAGUAACACGUGGGAACAUACCCUUGGGUGCGGAACAACGUCGGGAAACUGACGCUAAUACCACAUAAUGACUCCGGUCCAAAGAUUUAUCGCCCAAGGAUUGGCCCGCGCUAGAUUAGGUUGUUGGUGAGGUAACGGCUCACCAAGCCUACGAUCUAUAGCUGGUCUGAGAGGAUGAUCAGCCACACUGGGACUGAGACACGGCCCAGACUCCUACGGGAGGCAGCAGUAAGGAAUAUUGGACAAUGGGGGCGAACCCUGAUCCAGCCAUGCCGCGUGAGUGAAGAAGGCCUUAGGGUUGUAAAGCUCUUUCAGGUGCGAAGAUAAUGACUGUAACACCAGAAGAAGCCCCGGCUAAAUUACGUG
rnacentral:rRNA from 1 species